CCGAUAGCUCAAUUGGUAGAGCAACUGACUCUUAAUCAGUAGGUUCUCGGUUCGAUUCCGAGUCGG
rnacentral:tRNA from 2 species